UACGAAGGGGGCUAGCGUUGCUCGGAAUCACUGGGCGUAAAGGGUGCGUAGGCGGGCCUUUAAGUCAGGGGUGAAAUCCUGGAGCUCAACUCCAGAACUGCCUUUGAUACUGAAGAUCUUGAGUUCGGGAGAGGUGAGUGGAACUGCGAGUGUAGAGGUGAAAUUCGUAGAUAUUGGGAGGAACACCAGUGGCGAAGGCGGCUCACUGGACCGGAACUGACGCUGAGGCGCGAAAGCGUGGGGAGCAAACGGG
rnacentral:rRNA from 1 species